CUCGGACCAUAAAGAGGGACGGACAAUGACGGAAAAAUUAGAAGCGGCAGGCAAAGCAACACAAAGCAAAAAAAACAACAACAAAAAAAACGGGAGUUUGGUGUCAACUUUCAACAUUGAUCUGCUGGUAUGAUUCAUCUACAAACAAGCAGAGAGUCAGUCGGUUUUUACCUGCUUCUGGACCAUCUGUAAGAGCAGUGCCCUGACAUUGAUAAAUAGAUGGCGGAUAAACGAAGACAAAUACUUGGUCCUUUGAGUGGAAUCCUGUUGAUAAAAAAUCUGUGUUGAAUCCUUUUCAAGUGGGGAAACUGCGCAAAGUAAAGGAGAACUUGACCAUCAUGCGAGCAGAAAGUCCGCGCCGCCGCCGCUGCCGCUGCUACAGGGAGCUGUCCGUGGUGCUGCUCUCCUCCUCAGCCUCCCCUUCCCGACAGAGUUGGGUGGUGUCUUCUUUUCUCUCCUCUGCUGUGCUGUCCCCCCUCCUCUUCCUCUAGUUCACACAGUCAUACUAACACACAUGCACGUUCUGUAA